rnacentral:rRNA from 1 species
CAGCCCAGAGCCUGAAUCAGUGUGUGUGUUAGUGGAAGCGUCUGGAAAGGCGCGCGAUACAGGGUGACAGCCCCGUACACAAAAAUGCACAUACUGUGAGCUCGAUGAGUAGGGCGGGACACGUGGUAUCCUGUCUGAAUAUGGGGGGACCAUCCUCCAAGGCUAAAUACUCCUGACUGACCGAUAGUGAACCAGUACCGUGAGGGAAAGGCGAAAAGAACCCCGGCGAGGGGAGUGAAAAAGAACCUGAAACCGUGUACGUACAAGCAGUGGGAGCACAGAGCAAUCUGUGUGACUGCGUACCUUUUGUAUAAUGGGUCAGCGACUUAUAUUCUGUAGCAAGGUUAACCGAAUAGGGGAGCCGAAGGGAAACCGAGUCUUAACUGGGCGUUAAGUUGCAGGGUAUAGACCCGAAACCCGGUGAUCUAGCCAUGGGCAGGUUGAAGGUUGGGUAACACUAACUGGAGGACCGAACCGACUAAUGUUGAAAAAUUAGCGGAUGACUUGUGGCUGGGGGUGAAAGGCCAAUCAAACCGGGAGAUAGCUGGUUCUCCCCGAAAGCUAUUUAGGUAGCGCCUCGUGAAUUCAUCUCCGGGGGUAGAGCACUGUUUCGGCAAGGGGGUCAUCCCGACUUACCAACCCGAUGCAAACUGCGAAUACCGGAGAAUGUUAUCACGGGAGACACACGGCGGGUGCUAACGUCCGUCGUGAAGAGGGAAACAACCCAGACCGCCAGCUAAGGUCCCAAAGUCAUGGUUAAGUGGGAAACGAUGUGGGAAGGCCCAGACAGCCAGGAUGUUGGCUUAGAAGCAGCCAUCAUUUAAAGAAAGCGUAAUAGCUCACUGGUCGAGUCGGCCUGCGCGGAAGAUGUAACGGGGCUAAACCAUGCAC